CACUCACAAGAUUAAUAACGCGUUUCCUGUAGGAUGGAAACAUAGAUUAAGUUAUACGAUAUGCUUUGGGGAGCUGUAAGUAAGCUUUGAUCCAGAGAUUUCCGAAUGGGGAAACCCAGCAUGAGUUAUGUCAUGUUAUCGAUAUGUGAAUACAUAGCAUAUCAGAAGGCACACCCGGAGAACUGAAACAUCUUAGUACCCGGAGGAAGAGAAAGAAAAUUCGAUUCCCUUAGUAGCGGCGAGCGAAACGGGAAGAGCCCAAACCAACAAGCUUGCUUGUUGGGGUUGUAGGACACUCUAUACGGAGUUACAAAGGACGACAUUAGACGAAUCAUCUGGAAAGAUGAAUCAAAGAAGGUAAUAAUCCUGUAGUCGAAAAUGUUGUCUCUCUUGAGUGGAUCCUGAGUACGACGGAGCACGUGAAAUUCCGUCGGAAUCUGGGAGGACCAUCUCCUAAGGCUAAAUACUCUCUAGUGACCGAUAGUGAACCAGUACCGUGAGGGAAAGGUGAAAAGCACCCCGGAAGGGGAGUGAAAUAGAACCUGAAACCGUGUGCUUACAAGUAGUCAGAGCCCGUUAAUGGGUGAUGGCGUGCCUUUUGUAGAAUGAACCGGCGAGUUACGAUUUGAUGCAAGGUUAAGCAGUAAAUGUGGAGCCGUAGCGAAAGCGAGUCUGAAUAGGGCGUUUAGUAUUUGGUCGUAGACCCGAAACCAGGUGAUCUACCCUUGGUCAGGUUGAAGUUCAGGUAACACUGAAUGGAGGACCGAACCGACUUACGUUGAAAAGUGAGCGGAUGAACUGAGGGUAGCGGAGAAAUUCCAAUCGAACCUGGAGAUAGCUGGUUCUCUCCGAAAUAGCUUUAGGGCUAGCCUCAAGUGAUGAUUAUUGGAGGUAGAGCACUGUUUGGACGAGGGGCCCCUCUCGGGUUACCGAAUUCAGACAAACUCCGAAUGCCAAUUAAUUUAACUUGGGAGUCAGAACAUGGGUGAUAAGGUCCRUGUUCGAAAGGGAAACAGCCCAGACCACCAGCUAAGGUCCCAAAAUAUAUGUUAAGUGGAAAAGGAUGUGGCGUUGCCCAGACAACUAGGAUGUUGGCUUAGAAGCAGCCAUCAUUUAAAGAGUGCGUAAUAGCUCACUAGUCGAGUGACACUGCGCCGAAAAUGUACCGGGGCUAAACAUAUUACCGAAGCUGUGGAUUGUCCUUUGGACAAUGGUAGGAGAGCGUUCUAAGGGCGUUGAAGCAUGAUCGUAAGGACAUGUGGAGCGCUUAGAAGUGAGAAUGCCGGUGUGAGUAGCGAAAGAYGGGUGAGAAUCCCGUCCACCGAUUGACUAAGGUUUCCAGAGGAAGGCUCGUCCGCUCUGGGUUAGUCGGGUCCUAAGCUGAGGCCGACAGGCGUAGGCGAUGGAUAACAGGUUGAUAUUCCUGUACCACCUAUAAUCGUUUUAAUCGAUGGGGGGACGCAGUAGGAUAGGCGAAGCGUGCGAUUGGAUUGCACGUCUAAGCAGUAAGGCUGAGUAUUAGGCAAAUCCGGUACUCGUUAAGGCUGAGCUGUGAUGGGGAGAAGACAUUGUGUCUUCGAGUCGUUGAUUUCACACUGCCGAGAAAAGCCUCUAGAUAGAAAAUAGGUGCCCGUACCGCAAACCGACACAGGUAGUCAAGAUGAGAAUUCUAAGGUGAGCGAGCGAACUCUCGUUAAGGAACUCGGCAAAAUGACCCCGUAACUUCGGGAGAAGGGGUGCUCUUUAGGGUUAACGCCCAGAAGAGCCGCAGUGAAUAGGCCCAAGCGACUGUUUAUCAAAAACACAGGUCUCUGCUAAACCGUAAGGUGAUGUAUAGGGGCUGACGCCUGCCCGGUGCUGGAAGGUUAAGAGGAGUGGUUAGCUUCUGCGAAGCUACGAAUCGAAGCCCCAGUAAACGGCGGCCGUAACUAUAACGGUCCUAAGGUAGCGAAAUUCCUUGUCGGGUAAGUUCCGACCCGCACGAAAGGCGUAACGAUUUGGGCACUGUCUCAACGAGAGACUCGGUGAAAUCAUAGUACCUGUGAAGAUGCAGGUUACCCGCGACAGGACGGAAAGACCCCGUGGAGCUUUACUGUAGCCUGAUAUUGAAAUUCGGCACAGCUUGUACAGGAUAGGUAGGAGCCUUUGAAACGUGAGCGCUAGCUUACGUGGAGGCGCUGGUGGGAUACUACCCUAGCUGUGUUGGCUUUCUAACCCGCACCACUUAUCGUGGUGGGAGACAGUGUCAGGCGGGCAGUUUGACUGGGGCGGUCGCCUCCUAAAAGGUAACGGAGGCGCUCAAAGGUUYCCUCAGAAUGGUUGGAAAUCAUUCAUAGAGUGUAAAGGCAUAAGGGAGCUUGACUGCGAGACCUACAAGUCGAGCAGGGUCGAAAGACGGACUUAGUGAUCCGGUGGUUCCGCAUGGAAGGGCCAUCGCUCAACGGAUAAAAGCUACCCCGGGGAUAACAGGCUUAUCUCCCCCAAGAGUUCACAUCGACGGGGAGGUUUGGCACCUCGAUGUCGGCUCAUCGCAUCCUGGGGCUGUAGUCGGUCCCAAGGGUUGGGCUGUUCGCCCAUUAAAGCGGUACGCGAGCUGGGUUCAGAACGUCGUGAGACAGUUCGGUCCCUAUCCGUCGUGGGCGUAGGAAAUUUGAGAGGAGCUGUCCUUAGUACGAGAGGACCGGGAUGGACAUACCUCUGGUGUACCAGUUGUCGUGCCAACGGCAUAGCUGGGUAGCUAUGUGUGGACGGGAUAAGUGCUGAAAGCAUCUAAGCAUGAAGCCCCCCUCAAGAUGAGAUUUCCCAACUUCGGUUAU
rnacentral:rRNA from 1 species